rnacentral:lncRNA from 1 species
UCAUAGAUGGGAAGAUGUAAUAUCAGAAAAACGUCAAUUCUCUCCAAAUUAAUCUCUAAAUUAAGUGGUAUGCCUAAUGAUUUCCCUUGGAACUUGACAAGCUUAACCCAAAAUUCGUGUGAAAAAGCAAAAAGCCCAGAAUAGUUGAGGCAACUUUAAAGAAAAAGAAUAAUGUGAGGAACAUACCCCCAUUGAUAUCAAGAACAAUUAUAAAGCCAUAGUUGCUCUCAAGUCUAGGAUAGUGCCUGAGACAGACAGUUCUCAAUGAAUAUUUGCUAGGUAGAUUGAUGAUGGAUGGAUGAAUGGACUCUAAUGCGUGGGGAACACGCAGAUAUGCAGGGUAACUCUGGAUCGUACCAGACCUUAUGUUACUUCUUGUCUGGGGACAGGAUUAACUCUCGAACCAGUGGGGUAAGGAGUGAGCUGAACCUGAAGAUGAGGGUGAUUCAGAGGGCAAGGACCAGGGAAGUUUGGCUCUGAGAAAGGGCAGUGCAGAGAGCUGACUAAUUUGUUUCCUUUGUCUACAGAUACUUUGGCACCUUUAAGCAAAUUCAUACAAUUUGAGUAUGAGGAUUUGGAAAUGAAAGUGGCAUUCUAUAGUUGAAAGAAGUUUUGUCAUCAGUGAUUUGGGUUUAAAUCCGACUCUGAGUAGCAGUGUAACUCUGGGCAGCUCUAUCAAGAUUUUGGACAGAGUAUGUCAGAAUCAUGUCUAUAAGAUUCAGUGUGGACUAAUGCAAAGUGAGCCUGGACUGGAAGUCAGAAGAACUGGAUACAAGUUCUAAUGUUAUCUGAGAGCAGGCCUCUGUUAAUAGGUCUUGUUACCGUGGCAGAGACAACGGGAAAAUAUAGGCUAAUCAGAAGCAUUGUGCACAACAAUGAAACCUUGCAACUCUAUGUAUAUUGACGUGUGUGGGCGGGGGGGCAUAUCAGGUUACUCAAGAUGGCUAAAACUGACUGAAUCAGUAACCUCUAAUCUGUAAAAAACAGCAGACUCCCUAUAAUUCCUUAAAAUAAAUGUGGGUUUGAGAGACUCUCCCUGAGAUAA